rnacentral:rRNA from 1 species
GCGGAAUGCUUUACACAUGCAAGUCGAACGGUAGAGGGGGCAACCCCUCGAGAGUGGCGAACGGGUGAGUAAUAUAUCGGAACGUGCCCAGUCGUGGGGGAUAACGUAGCGAAAGUUACGCUAAUACCGCAUACGAUCUACGGAUGAAAGCGGGGGAUCGCAAGACCUCGCGCGACUGGAGCGGCCGAUAUCAGAUUAGGUAGUUGGUGGGGUAAAGGCUCACCAAGCCAACGAUCUGUAGCUGGUCUGAGAGGACGACCAGCCACACUGGAACUGAGACACGGUCCAGACUCCUACGGGAGGCAGCAGUGGGGAAUUUUGGACAAUGGACGCAAGUCUGAUCCAGCCAUUCCGCGUGCAGGAUGAAGGCCCUCGGGUUGCAAACUGCUUUUGUACGGAACGAAAAGGUUUCCAUUAAUACUGGGAGCUCAUGACGGUACCGUAAGAAUAAGCACCGGCUAACUACGUGCCAGCAGCCGCGGUAAUACGUAGGGUGCAAGCGUUAAUCGGAAUUACUGGGCGUAAAGCGUGCGCAGGCGGUUAUGUAAGACAGAGGUGAAAUCCCCGGGCUCAACCUGGGAACUGCCUUUGUGACUGCAUAGCUAGAAUACGGUAGAGGGGGAUGGAAUUCCGCGUGUAGCAGUGAAAUGCGUAGAUAUGCGGAGGAACACCGAUGGCGAAGGCAAUCCCCUGGACCUGUACUGACGCUCAUGCACGAAAGCGUGGGGAGCAAACAGGAUUAGAUACCCUGGUAGUCCACCCCUUAACGAUGUCACUGGUUG